ensembl:lncRNA
CCUUGCACUCCAAAAUCCUGGUACAGCCAAACUGUUCACAGAUAUAAGAAAAUCUCCAGCGUCACAUGGAGGGAUCGGAUAGGGAAGGGUUAAAACAGGCCCUCCCAAGGCUGACAAGCACGACAGUGCUGCUGGAAGCUGAUUGCCAGAUACGACAAACAAAGCGGUGGCAAGGCCACCCGGUUCUUAACCGAGCCAGGGUCCGCCCUCCCGGAUUGUUCAAUAAAGGCCUUAUUUUCCUUAUUGAUGGAAAGACCUCACGAUGGAAACGUGGACGGGUCACUGAGCGCCGGCUUUGAGGAAACCUGCACCGAAGGGGACCGUCGCCGGAUUCCGAGCGCGGCCCCACACCUGCUCUGCAGACACCGAUCGGCUCCCCGGGCGGGUGGGACACUCGACCUCGGCCUGUCGCACUGAGGACCGGUGGGGAGGUGGGGGAUGGCACCCGGGGCGGCGGCCUGGCAGCGGCCCAAAGCCGCGCAGAGGCCGCGGGCUACCGGGGGAAACGGGGGGCCCUCCUCCACCGAGGCCACAGCCGGGCCUAGGUCUCUCUUCAGCACAGUCGCAGCUCACGCCCCACAGCCCCGACCCCGCGGAGCCCGGGUGCCCCGCAUCAGUCCGCCCCCGGGGCUCCCUCUCACUCACCAUCUUCGCAGCGGCGGUUGCAGGGAUUCAGGGGAGGGAGCCGGCGGGAACCGAGUGUGCGGAACAACCUCCUCACACCAGCAGGACGAGAAAGCGAGCGCAGAGCCGACGCGGCACCGUGAGCCUACUAAGGGGCGGUCGCGCGCCUCGGGUCAAAAUGCGCCUGCGCACGUCACGCACUGCCCGCGUUGCUACACGACGGGCCGGCCCGGCAAUGCCCCGCCCCGGGGGCAGCCUGGAGUCCGGACUGCGGGGGCGUCGCUCACCUGCCCGGGGCUGAGGGGCGGGACCCCUUCGCCAGCUCCAGUCUUGAGGGGCGCGGGCAGGUUCUACUUCCUCAACUGCAGACACUUAAUCUUUGGGGGAAAAUAACUCUCAACCUGCUGGAGGCCAGAUGUGCUGAGUUUUUGUCUCCUGAGAAAGGAAGGAGGUGAAGAGUAAGGAAAGGUUUACCGACAGCUCCUGAGAGACAGGAGGGGUCCCAGAAGUGCGUGGCCCCACAGGCGCUUUCUCCAAGAAUGUUCUAUGGAGCAAAAUCACAAGGGAGAUUCUCAGGCCUGGCCAUAUUGUCUCCAUCUUGAGUCCUGGCCCCCUUCAGAUGUGCCUUCAGCAGCAGUUUUGAUGUGUUUUCAUCUUCCACACUGACUCCCUUGAGGGCUUAUCCCUGUCUGACUACCUAUUAAUUUCUACCUAACUUAGCUGUCUAGUAUCUUGAUCUUGUACCUUCCAGCCUCCAAAGCAAUAGGAAUAUAUCUCUGUUUUCUCUGCUGACCCCCAGUCUGUGUGUGGCUUUGUGCUGUACAGCCUGAACAGACUAUAACACAUAAAGUCUCUCCUUGAAUACAGCAUGGGUAUGUUCCAUUUCUGAUUUAGAAGACGUUUUGCAAAUGCAGUACUUGAUCUAUGAACAUGCAAGCACUUUCAUUUGAAGCCAUUAAUAUGACUGGCAGAGAAUAAAUUCACUUUGAAGAGAUUGCAGAGACACCGGUGUUUUGUUUUUUUGUAUUGUUUUGUUUUUUUGGUACUGGGGAUUGAACUCAGGACCUUGCGCUUGCAAGGCAGGUGCCGGCUAAAUCCCUGGCCUGAGACAUGGGUGUUAAUAGUCUGAAAAAGCUCCUUUGCCAGGGGUAAACCCUAUCAGAAGGAAGUGUACAAAACUAUUUUUGAAUCUUUUCCCUGCCUUCCCACAAAUUCACCUCCUCCAUAUCUCCUACCCUUUAUGGUGUUUUGCUGGUUGUAUAGUGUUCUAUAGUUCACUUUCAUACAAUUAAUGAUUAUCUUGGUGACCUGGCCUUAUCAAGAAAUCAUUCCUUAUAAUUGCAGAAAAGCAUGACUGUCCAUUUGUUUAAUCUCUGUCCUACUGAUAGCCGUUUAGUUUCUUUCCAAAGCAUGACUAUCACAGUGUCUCGAUGAACAGCCUUAUGACUAGCCUCUUUGCACACAAGCAAGUACACUUCUCAGAAAAGGACAAAUAAGGGAAUCAGGUACUUGGUUCAAGGCUGAGAGUUCAAGCUCUUCAAAGUAUCUGUGGACAGAAUGUACCAUAAAAAUAUGAAAAGUAAGAAAACAUGCACACACCCCCAAGGUACACUGUUGAAUGAAUGAAUGAAAACAAGUUGCAGCUAGCACUUGGGAAGCUGAAGUAGGAGGAUCGCUGCAAGUUCAAGGCCAGUGUGGGCUACAUAGCACAAAGCAAGCCUGCACUACAAAAAAAAAAGAACAAAAAAGCUGAGGCCCUACAUGAUGAGACUUUCCGCAUUUUUAAAGAUGGUCUAUAUUUUACAGACUUCAAAAUAGUAACCUCAACUGCUAUCAAAUUUUGAUAUGAUUUCACUUAUAAAAGAAGAGCAAAGGCAAGGAAUUCAAAAAUGGCAUAUUGACUUGGUAGUGUUUGGGACCCAUUUCUAUACUGUUGCUUUGCUAUGCAAAGAUUCCUUUCCUGAGGUCACUUCCUACUCCAGAAUGGGUACUGGAACAGGUAUUCCUUCCCUACUCCAAGCAGUAAGAAGGAAGAAAAGGUAAAAAGGGCACCCCUCCGUUUUUCAGGAAACUUCCCAGAAGUACCAUACAGAGUUUUCCCUUUUAUCUCAUUGACCAGAACUUAGUCAUAUGUGAAAUGUAGCAUUAUGAGUAGCAUUAUGCUCAGCUAAGAAAUCAGGAUGCCUCCUUUACUAAGGAAGAAGGGGAAAUAGAUAUUGGGAGAUAACUAGUGGUGACUGCCAUAAGUAGUCACCACUACUGUCUCAUUCCACAG